UUAUUCUUCUCUGCCUUUAUAUAUAUCUUCUGGCAAUUUUUAUGUUGUCCUUGCUUCUUUCUUGCUUCAAAAAUAAUACACGACUUGACUAUCUCCACCGAGGAUGCCUGCCACCUAUAAUACAUAGAGAUUUGAAUAUGUACUAUAUUUUUUUAGUUGGAAAACAUGAGGCCGAACUAACAGACUAUGGGAUGUCUAAAUCAUUCAUCCGUCUCAAAAUGGUUGGAACCCUAGGAUACACUGACCCUGAGUAUAUGUAUUUUUUUUAUAUCUAUUUUGUGUUUGUUUAUCCUAUUUAACCGUGAUUUGGUUCAUGAUCAAUUAAAAAUAGAGAUGUUCUUGCACUUUUCUUUGAUUGAAAAUCACAAAAUUUUCCAACGGAUGGAGAGAAGUUCUUAUAAGUUUGAUUUUUUUUUUUUUCAGAUUUUAAAUUAAAGUUGAAUUAUGCAAGGGAAAAAUAUUUAGAUAUUCUUUUGCAACCACUUGUCUUUUCUUUCUAUAAUAUCUGUUUAUUCUCAAUGGCCCCAAGUGGGAGCAAAACUAUUCAGCAGACUUAACAAACAUUCUUGAUGGAAAUGCAUAGUCAUUUGUAUCUUAGCCUCUUAGGGCCGUCAUCCAGUAUAUCCAAACUUUCAUUCAUCAUUAUGAAUUUGACAUAUUCAUCAUUAUGAAUUUGACAUAUCCAUGUCCAUGAUAAAUUCGAAUUGUUUUGUUUGAUUGCAAAUUGUGUAGAUAUUUCUAACAAAUGGCAACACAUGCACUAGGGUAGGCUAUCAAAUUUGUAGAUAAACUCUGAAUUAUUACAAUUCUGAUCUAGAAGUACUAGAUAUUUUUGUCAACUAGCAAGAAUGGUGAUUGAAAUUUGUCCUUUUUGUUAUGUUUUCAACCAUUCCCUUUUUUCUUGAAUUUCACUUCAUUAUUGUAAUAUAAUUAAGAGUCAAAAUUCAUUCAAAUUGUAGCAAAAUACUACUUGGUUUCAGAACAAACUGUUACAGAGAUCUAAACUUAUUCUCUUGAACUAAUGCAAAUUGAUUUUUUUUACAUUAUUGUAACUACGUUGGAGGCAAAACAGUUUGAGCAUUUUCAUACCUUAAUUUGUUUGGUUUUGGUGAUUCUUUGACACUACAAGAUCUUUAUGAUCAUCUUCGAAUAUUCGAGACUUACUGUUAGUCAUUGUAUGAGGUUCCAUAUAACUCACCAGCUUACGGAGAAGAGUGACAUAUAUAGCUUCGGAGCAGUGUCCUUUUGGAGCUAAUCACUGGCCAACGAGCCAUACAGUCCAUCAGAAUGCACAGCAGAUACCUCUGCCGAUAGGCCAAUGAUAGUCGACGUUGUGAACGGGCUCAAGGAGUGCAUAGGACUUGAGGCUGCGAGUGAGGAAAGCACAUACUGGAAUAUCAAAAGUGAAAGUUCUGUCCAGUUUAGCGCACUUGAGGUAGAAGGGUCGAACCAUCACCUAGGUCCAAGAUGAAUUGAAAAUCUCAACUUUCCCUGUAUGAGAUGCGAGAUUCUUCAACAAAGUGUUAUCUUGAAAUG